AGGUGUAUUUGUGAAAAUUCAAGCCUAAACAGAAAUUUUAAAAUGGAAUUAGAGAGAGAGAAACUAAUAUCACUCAUAUUUGGCUCUUGCUAUGAUGAUAUUCAUGAACGAAAUACUGGUGUUUGCAAAAUCUGCAAAGAUAAUGAUGGUGAAGACUGGCUUGGAUGCGACAAAUGCUUUCAGUUUUUCCAUUCGAGCUGUUUAAAUUUAGACUUUUCUGCUGCCCUCUCCAACUAUUUUGUUUGUCCAUGCUAAAAUUAUUGGCAUUGAUAUCAUACAAAUGUGUACAUUUAUCAUCUUUACAUUAAAUAAGUUUCCAAGGAAACAGGCAAACAGUCAUAAGUGCUUCAAUGAUUGUGCUGGAUUUAGAAGAAGUAAACUUGAAUAGGUAGCACUUAAAGCUUAGCACAACUUUGUCAUAACGUCCUAUCCAUUUCCUGUAUUCUGCUUACAAACCUUUUGCAUUAUACACUCUAAAAGCAUGGUUGUAGUUUCUUAAUUUAGUUGCGUAACUUAAAAGUCAAAAAUUGAUUACAGUUUAAAUACAAAAACAGUAAAUACGAAAAGGAGAAUACAUACGUAACAUACCUGCU